GGUGGCGUAGCUCAGCUGGCUAGAGCAUGGGAUUCAUAACCCCAAGGUCGCCGGUUCGAGCCCGGCCGCCACCA
rnacentral:tRNA from 1 species